rnacentral:rRNA from 1 species
AAUAGAUACCCUGGUAGUCCACGCCCUAAACGAUGUCAACUAGUUGUUGGGGAUUCAUUUCCUUAGUAACGUAGCUAACGCGUGAAGUUGACCGCCUGGGGAGUACGGUCGCAAGAUUAAAACUCAAAGGAAUUGACGGGGACCCGCACAAGCGGUGGAUGAUGUGGAUUAAUUCGAUGCAACGCGAAAAACCUUACCUACCCUUGACAUGGUCGGAACCCUGCUGAAAGGUGGGGGUGCUCGAAAGAGAACCGGCGCACAGGUGCUGCAUGGCUGUCGUCAGCUCGUGUCGUGAGAUGUUGGGUUAAGUCCCGCAACGAGCGCAACCCUUGUCCUUAGUUGCUACGCAAGAGCACUCUAAGGAGACUGCCGGUGACAAACCGGAGGAAGGUGGGGAUGACGUCAAGUCCUCAUGGCCCUUAUGGGUAGGGCUUCACACGUCAUACAAUGGUCGGAACAGAGGGUUGCCAAGCCGCGAGGUGGAGCCAAUCCCAGAAAACCGAUCGUAGUCCGGAUCGCAGUCUGCAACUCGACUG